rnacentral:lncRNA from 1 species
GAGAACAAGGUUUGAUCUGCUCAGGUAUUUGCAGCAGCAGCAAAAUUCAUAAUCCGAAAUCAGAAUUAACAAGGAUAUUAGCAGUAUUGGAGACUUGAUUGAAGAGAAAUUACUACACAAAUUUGUUUUAAUCAUAGAACAGCAUCAGAAUUGUGGCAUCAAAACAUAACUUCAUUUUAAAACAAAACUGAGAAUAUUUAGCUAAUAAGAAUUUGUCUGUGUAGGAAUUCUUCUAUAUACUGCUGUAAUUAAUCUCAUCACAUUUGACAACAUAGUUCCAGGAUCCUUGAAAUAUCAAAAAAAAUUUUAUUCAAGUUUUGCUAUUAAAAUGUGCCAAGUAUUAACCUUGAAACAGCAACUCGAAUGCAACAGCAAUUGAAGAAAAGCAUUAUCUGAAAAGAGAAAAGAAAACUUGGUACACAUCACACAUGUCACAUCGCUAUUAACAGCAGUCAGUCAGCCUCCAACCAUGUGGAUCCUAAAUCAACCUGGAUUCUGCAUAAGCCUAUUUAAACUCAAUAUCACCUAAUAAGAAAAUAUCUAUUCUGAAGUAGAACUAACUGAUUUGUAUAACAACUCAGGCCUAAGUAUUUUCCUGUUUGGUCUUCUGGCAUCAAAAGGUCCUAUGUUUGUUAUCAAUGCCCAAUAGUGUGGCAAGGAUUUUCAAUUUUGGGGGGUAAAAAGAUAAUUGCACUUUAUAUUUGUUCUUUGGAAUGCAAAGUAAUUGGAGAGGUGAAAGAUCCUUUCCCUAAAGGUUGGAGAAGCUAUUUAGGAAUUGCAGCAAUGCAAUCAGAGAAUUCUGAUGUGAUUGCAGACCAAUCUGGUAGUUUCAACUGGCAGUUCAUUGGUUAAAGAAUCAAUUUCACUCAGUGUUUGAUUCAUCGUACUGCACCUAACCCAUCCAAUCACGAAAUCACUCUACUGCAAUGGAUGCAGAGGCUCUGUAGUACCCAAAGCAUGGGAGUUAUCCAGUAGCCCAGAAAUGAAUUGAUAUACUAUUAGCUUAGAUCAGACAACCUGAAUACAAUCACACGAGAAAUAUGAACCAAAAAUUCAUUUUCAAUAGGAUAUUUCCUUUUUUCCUAAGUUUAAAAUACGAAGGAGCAUUCUGCACACAGUUUCUUCUUCAUAAUGCGGCGCGAACUAUUAUUCCAGGCAGAUUUUAACUUGACAGAAUCCACCCAACCACACAGCCUCAUAUAAAUAUUAGUUUUCCUGAAAAAGAUAUUUGGAGGUUUGAAGAAAUGUAAAUGUUCUAGCUAGACAUGCUGACCUGCUCAUACAGAAGCUCUAUUUGUUGUGCUUGUUGCAGAACAUGUGUGGACAUGAGGUGAUUCAAUGCAGACAUUUCUACCAUCUUAGUUUCAGUUUCUUGAACUGCAUCUAGAAGACUAGUCAACUCCACCUGCAAACAAGUCCAACAGCAAGCAGCCCUUGUUAUAGAAGCCUCAAAGACCCAUCUGAACAAUCAUAGAAUCUGAUAAUGGAAAAGGUUGUAAAAAUCUCAUCAAUAGCUAUUUCUUAUAACCUGUAGGGCACGAGUUUCAUCAUCCAACAAUUGCUGUUGAACUCUAAGAGGCUCCGGCUGAAUUUCAUCAGGUUCCAUAAAAUCUAAAUUGUUUGUUUUAGAGGAAUCAACAGAGCUUGUAUUUUUAUUUGCAGCCCGGUUAACUUUUCUCCUUGGUAUCCUCUUAUUAAUAGCAUCCUGGAAGCGUAUGGCUCUAAGCUGAUCAAACCGUGCAGUGACAGAAUGAAGUUUCUCACUUAAAAUCAAAACCUGCAGAUUUAAAAGUAGCAGAAUGGUAAAUUAAUCCAGCUAAACAAUGCCUUCGAUUUCAUUUCAUCCUGAAAGAAACUGGAGAUUCAUAUGCAGGGAUUUGAAUAUAGAAAGUGAACUUAUUAGCAAAUCCUGAAUCUGCAAAGAAUGAAAUUUGUACUAAGACUAAGCAAAGACAAGAGACUUUCUUGCCAACACAACUAAGAUAACAACGAAAAGGGUUUGUGUCAGACUAUGUGCAUGAGGCAUUACAACUGUUGGUAGUUAUGAUAUCUUAUACAACUGAGAAUUGUGACAAUUUACAUUUAGAGCUCCGAGGCCCCUAAUUGAUUUAAUAUUUGUACUAUGCUAAAUGUUUAGAAGAAUAGAUCUAUAUAAAAUAACAAACUUCGACCACAAUCUUUACCAUGGAGAUUAGGAAGAGAAAAAGGUGAUCAAAUGAAGGAUACUGUUCCGGUAAGCUAAAUAUUUUAUCUCCCAGACAAGUUUAGCAUGCAAUGAAUAAGCUCAAUUAAACAUUAUGAAGAUAAUAAUCAUACCACUCCAUGUUUGUGUGCUAUAGUAUCAGCGUUGGAGGUAUCAGCCUUGAUGCCAAGCCAUCCCUUUGUAUUUGCUUCUUCAUUGUUUAUGCUAUCCUUGAGAAUGUCAAUUUGUUCUUUGCAUGCUUUAAUAAAUGCAGUAACCUGCAGAAAUCGAUGUUGCAGAAAAUGCUGAGGAAAAACAAAUACCAUCAAGCAAAAGGACAGAUAGAAAUAGAGAAGACAAAAUGGCAAAAAGAAAAAGGAUCCAUUAAUCCAGCCUAUUUUCAAAUGCUGCUUUAGUGAACAUACUUGGAAUUUAUGAUACACUAAACACAAUAAAAAAGACAAUAAAUCAGUAAAUAUGUCAUCGAAUUAAACCUAGGAAUCUAUCGCAGCCAAGGCUCAUUGAUCUAUCAACCACUUGGGGGACUAAUGUUUUAAUUUCACAUUCUCACUUAUAGUUCCAGGCAUCAAAAGAAGAUAACUGGUUAGAAACAACACCAAUGAAAAAACAACUUAAAUAAUACCAACAGCUACUUCCUCUAUCAAGCACAGUUGAAAGAUUAUCCGAUCUGCAGCAUUUCUAUAGUGUCUCCAAUUAUAUAUGACAAAGUGACCCGACAGACUAUUAUACCCCAUGACUUACCUCUUGUUCAAUGCUAUCCCUCUCCUGUUCGGUGGUACGAUGCAGAUCAACAUAAUCCUUCCUAUGCUUCAACAUAAAUUGUUCUAAAGCUCCAAUGCUUUCAAGCUAAUACAUACAUCGAAUGAACCCCCCAAAAAGGGGUAGUCAGUCAAAUAUAAAUUGUAUGUGCAUCCCAAAAUUAGCACAAACAAGCGCACGAGUGAAACAUUAAACAUACCGUUUUAAGAGCAGCUUUAGUAAACGGUGACCUUUGCCGUGGUUUAUGAAUGAUAAAGGACGCCAUAAUGGCUGCCAAUUUGGCCUGUCAAAAAGUAACCACAUCCACAUUCGCAUCCACACAACACAAAAUUCAGCAAAACAUAAUUUGAAAGAGGAAAUGAAACAAUUUUUUUUUUUUACCUCAUUGUAACCUAAGGAAACAGCAGUGUGCCUUACUGCAUCUUUAAAAUCCUCUGUUCUGUCUCUAAUUUUAGCCAUACCACCCACCAGUUAAUUACCUUCACAAAUAGAUUGUCCAGAAAAAAAAAUCAAGCUUAAAUGCACCUCAUAUAUACAUAUAAGCAAGACAAAUUCGAGGAAAAAAAUUCCUAACCUUGAUCAUGCAAUCACUAAUUUGAAUUCAAGUUAACUGGAUCAAAUUGAAUUGCAGCAGAUAAUAACGGCCACGGAAGUGCAAAGGAAUUUAAUCAUGAUCAAACUGAAGUUGAAUAAUUCUUUCGAAUAAGAGAGAGAGAGAGAGAAAGGGAGAGAAGAGAUUGGAGUCUGAUAAAGUAAUCGAGACUCAAAAGAGACAACGCUUGCACGAAACGCGUUUCAGUUUUUUCCUCUAAUUUUUACACAAGUAGGCUGAUUGGGCUCGGGCCCAUCAUAAAAAAAUAGACUUGACAGCCCGUCUCUUGUAUAAUUUUUGCCUAACCAAACGUGCCCUUGAUACAAUCAAUCUAAAUUCUCACAGUUGCUUGACAAGAAGAGGCUUCUUGCUUUAGUUCAAAGCUCUGAUUUGGGUUCGCAUUCGCAUAACUUGCUCAGCGAUUCAAAGCAUCAAAGAGGAAGCAGCUUUGCCUUCACAGGUUAUUUUAUUGCAAGUUCGGUUCUUUUAUAUUGUGUUUUCAUAUUCUUAUUUGAUCUGCUUCUUCAUUUGUGUGCUUAACUUGCUACCUUCGAAAGCAUUAGAUUUAUUUUAUGCUGCCAACGAUGACAUUGUAUAUUUUCGUGUUCAAUGCGUGAUAUUUUUUUGAUGAUUUUUUCUCUUUGAAUUUUUAAAGCAGUUUCUUUGAAAUUAUAUUGAUGAAAAACUCAGUCAUUCUACGGUAGCUUAUGCCUCUUUUAUCUUUGGAUCAAAACGAAAGGUAGACAUAAACAAGAUUUAUAGGGUAGCACAGAGUUGAAGGAGUGAGAGAUCCUAUUUUCACAUGCAUAAGAGUAACUUGUCUCCUGUUUGUCUACUUUUUCCCUCUUUAUUUUUUCUGGAAUUUCAUCGAUUCUGAGCAUAAAAUUUUGGGUUCUGUGUAGUUAAUUUGGGCUUUGUUUAUCAUUUAGGAAAUGGGUUUGUGGACUUUAUUGGAGGGCUUUCUGCUUCUUGCAAAUGCAUUUGCAAUAUUAAAUGAAGAUCGGUUUCUUGCACCUAGAGGAUGGAGCUUCUCUGAAUUCUCUGUAGGACGAACAAAGUCUUUGAAAGGCCAGCUUAUCGGUCUCAUUUAUGCGACCCAAUAUAUGAGAGUUCCACUUAUAAUACUCAAUUCCAUUUGCAUCUUUGUAAAGCUGGUGUCUGGAUGAUGAUGCUAAGGUAAGUUAAAACCGUAUUGUAUGUUUGUCUCUACGUGUGAUUGCUGGUAAUAGAUUGCAUGGGUAGAUUUUUGGUCAAGUAAUGAUGGGCUUCACUAGGGCUAGCCCCUUACCCUUGGCUGGGACUUUUUGUUUAACAUACAUGCUAAAACGGAUAGAAACUGAGUUCUUUCAUUAUGAUGAAGUGACCUGGAUCUCGUGAGAAAUGAGAUAGAAAUUUGAGAAUGUUUGCAUGAACACAACUCCAGAAUUUGAGAUCGGUGGCCUUUGUUACUACUAGAUUUUAAUCAUUGGUUAUAUGCUUUAAAGAAUUCAAUUGCUUAGAUAAGGCCUCCAGUAUGCUUUGAGAAUGUUUUUGUUUCUCUUUCUAAAGAUUAAGCAUACGUCGUAGGCCAUUUUCUGAUUUAUGCUUACACAGUGUGUCAAAUCAGUAACAAGGAUCGCAGGAUGAGGAUAUGCAAAUGCAAUUGAUGCUUAAAAAGAUUUUUCCCCCUUAAAAUUAAUCAGGUAGGAAGACAACUAAAUCCCGUACCUCUGGAUUGGAUUUAUACUGGAGCUGCCAGAGGCAAAAUUGAGAUUGGCAGAUAAAAGAAAAUACAAUAUGACAUCAAAUAUUAUGAUGAGAAUGGUGACUGGAUGUGACAUCUCUCUUUUUCAAUCUUGUGUGAUUGAAGAUUAAACCCAUGUUAUGUAUUCCUUUGCUCAGUGCAUAGGUUGGUCGUUGACUAGUCUUUUAUUUUACUGCUUCAACUCAUAAGCUUGCUAAUUUUGAGAAGGAUUCCUCCUUAACCAAGAACGAAGCAAAUGCUUGGGGGGGGGGGGGGGUGUUCCUCCAGCGUUGACUUUAUCUUUUUUUGCUUCUUUUCAUUUCUUUUUGUUAUUUUAAAGUUCACAUUUAGUCCAUAAGUUAUUGUUUGAGCUUGAAUCUAGGAUAUAAAUUUCUGUUUACAACUAUCUUUCUGUGAUUAAUUUAGUUCCUUUUCUUGUGUGGCAGCAAUCAUGGAGUUUGGCUAAUAGGAUUGUAAACAACAUUUCUUUUUAGAAAGGCAGAGGAGGCAUACGAUUCAGGAAAUCCAAGACAUGAUUGAUUUAUUUGGAAUAUCCUUUCUCAAAAACUAGUGUUUUUAAGGUUACAUAUGUUGCGGGAAAAAAAAACGAUGAGAUGUGGGGUGAAAAUGGUGUGGAUUUAGGGCCAUUUUAUAAUUGGUGUUUGUAUUGUUUGACAAGUUUCAAAAGUAACUAACGUUCUAUGACAUUUAGUGUUUUGUUGUCAACCUAAUUAUUCUUCAUGAUUUGAUGCAGUAAUAAUGUUUUUCCUUCAUUUCUCGAUAGAUUCUGAAUGUUAAUGCGAGGAACACCCUUACUGGAGUGGAUGUAUUUUACGCUCGUUAUGCAUUUGAAGUUGCGGUCUUGUGUGUGAAAACCAAUUGUGACUUCACUGUUUGGUUCUUAUGGGAACAUUUGGUGUUCAUUUCAUCAGUGUGGUGAGGGGCUUCAUGUGAUUCUUCUACAUGCAGGCAGAUGUUGAAAUAGGAUACCUGGGGUGCUGGUCCCUUUUUCAGUUAAUGCUGUGAUAUUGAUGCGCAAAAUCUGAUGUUUGCCCAAAAUUUUUUAUAAAUCAGAGGAAUGAAAGCGCACUCCUUUCACUUCUCCUUUUUAACCAACAACCUAUCAAGAUUCCACUCUCCAUUAUAGGAUUCUACAACCUCCAUACGGGUUGUGCUGUGAUGGAGAGCACAAGUUUAGAAGUUUUUAUACUAUAUUCAACGAGGUACUAUUUCAAGAAGUGUACGUGUCGAAUGUAGCUGUUUCUGCCAUCAUUUUUAUGUUGGCAUCUAUUUAUCUAUUUUUGCAGACUCGAUCUGGAUGUCAAGUAAUCGGGAUAAUGAAUUCUGCAUAUAAUCACACCAUAUGUUAUGCAACCAUUCUCCUGCAUUUUUUAAGCAGAGAAUUGGGCAUUACGUUGUAAAUUUGUGAUAGACGGUGUUCAGUGGAAAAGAUUUGUUGUUUCAAGGGCGCCUGGUGAGUAUUCUGAAGCUAUACUUGAGGAUUUCUAAGGCCCUUAGUAUAUCUUUUCUUUUUUUGGUUUUUCUCAAUCUAUUUAUGAGCAAUAGAUUUCAUCGAAAGUUGCAGUUAUCGAAAUUAAACGCCACGAGCUGCACACCAGGCAACAAAGUAUAUAAAUUGGCAAACACCGAAAAACACCAGUCUGGAUGAAGGUGUGAAGCUUCGUUGAUUGCGGAAAAUCUAUAUACUAUUUUAUGAAGGUAGCUAUAAGAAAAAUACAAAAGAAAUCAAAUGUUAACUGAAAUGCGGAUAAAGUCUAAAUCAAGUGGAUUCAAUCGAAAUCUAAUUUUCACUAUAAAUCAGCGAAUACAUGGUAUGUUUUGGAAUCUACAGCAAUAAGUCUCAGAGCUGAAACUGCUGCUGCAAUGGACAUAAGGCCGAAAAAAUAAACAUUGAACCAAUGCCAAAGCUUUUGUAGAGAAGUCAAUUUGUUCUUCUUUGCUUUUAGGUACAUGUGGUUGGCCAGAAUAAAUGUAAGGGGGAAGGUGCUUAUAGCGCCAGUAAGGCUCAUAAAAUCUCCAAGGAAAGGCAGAAGAGCUGCCACCAGCGUGUUAAUAGUUAGGUAGCCGCCUCUUACCCCGACCCUAAACGACAAGUUGCGAAUUGAAAAUGGACUUCCUAUAAUCCCGUACUUUGUAUCCAAGUACUCAUACAUUGGGCUUGCAAAUAUCUACAAGAAGCAGGUGUAUGUUAGCGCAGCAGUCAAAAAGAAGAAGAAGAUAUAGCGAUAAAAGGAGAUUUUCAGAAAGCACGAGUCUUGAAUGAAUUACAUGCAGAGCAAUGACUGUUUGAAGGAAUGCAGAGAUGUUGGCCAAUGCCUUCACCCAAACCGGGCCAUUGACGCUGCUAAGCAAAUAGCUUGAUGUUGAAGAUCCAUAAGCCCAAUAUCCAAUAAAUGUCACUGCAUACAUUGGUAAGACUCCAGCCGAGAAUUGGAAGUAAAGUGAUUUCAUCAUGUUACUGACAACGGGCUGUUUUAUUGUUGCCUGGUGCAAAGCAGACACCAAAAGACGUGUAAGUUUUGGAGGCAUAAAAACAAGAGAAAAGGGAAGAAAUAACCUUACAUAGCCUACAUCCUGUGAAAUAUACUACCAUCAAUGUUAGCCUCAAGAAGUAUGCACUAUUAUGACUACCGAACACAGGUUUCCAAAUACAAAAGGGUCAAACUUCGAUAAAUCUCGGACCAUACAAGAGAAUAAGAGGCUGAGGCUGCAAAAUAGCUUUACAGCCGGAUAUAAAAUAGAUAUCCAAUAAAAAUGCAUUCAUUCCCCGACUACAGUUAUAUUACAUCAUUUUUAUUUUUAUUUAGAUGGGGCAAAAGAACACUCUCAAAUUCUGUGAAAAACUCAUAGACUUGAUCCCUUGCUUACCUGUAUUUCUGGAAGCAUUCCUGUAUUAAAUGCAAAAACCAGAUUAGCAGAUGCUCCUAUUGUUGUAAAGAUUUUGCUUCUUGUUGUUCCUGGAAUGCUGUAAUCCCUGGCUGGUGCUUCAAUUCCUAUAACAGCACAGAUAUUGAUGCAAAUUCAGAACUAGAGAAACAAUGGCCUGGGCUAGAAAAAUAAGCAAAAUAAAAAUUACGUUUAUCAUGCCUAAACUCAAAUUUAUGGUGGGCAAAUAGGACAGGAAACAUAAUGGUAAGAAAUUGAAGGAAAAUGAAAUUCAAAAAAAAAUUAGCAAAAGAAACUCUCGGAAGCAAUAUGAUCUAUAAGUUGUUAAUUCUUAACAAUCUAGGGACAACAUACAGUAUGGAAACAGUAAUCAAAUCAUACAAACAGAAAACGCACAGCCAAGUUUGAUGAGAACCAAUAAUUGUAUCAAACUGUAUGUCAAAUUUACUAUUGCUGCGUAUGUCAGACAGUGUACCGUGUUGAAGGAAAAGAGAGUGGCGAUUCCUUAGAAGAUAGCCAUCUACCUCCCUCUCUAUCUAUCUAUCUAUACAUUUACACAUCUGGCUGGCUGCAUAAAGAAUUGCUUUGUGCAAAAGAUGUAUUUUCCAUCUUACUCGAAAUCAUAUUGCAAUUACAGACUCAGCACUAAGGUUUGCAACAUCCCUCUCAUAGAAAUCCUUCAUUUCUUCACACAAUCAAAUAGUAAAAGGGAAAGAAUGCAUGAAGCAAGGUGCAUGGCAUUACCGGAAUGAAAAGCAAACAACAGACUACUUUGGCACAACAAACUUACCAUCCUUAACAGAAAGCACAAACGCCACAACUAUAUAUAUCAGGCUGAAAACCGUGGAAACUCCCAACCAAAGUCUGAGAGCAGACAAGUGGGGAAUUGACAUGGCAAACAAGGCACAUACAAACCCAGAAAUGGCAAUGAAGUAUGGGAGUUUCAUGACAUGGUCAUCGCUAAAAAGAACAUAGACAGCCUGCAUACCAAAUGCAUAGAAUCAGAAAAACGAAAUCCAGAAAAGAAAGAAAAGAAAAACCCGAAAAUAACUUCAUAUAUCAUCAUAUAAAUGAACUUCUUAUACCUAGCAAGAAGAAUUCAAAUCAUUAUUCCUCUUAUUGGCCGUAGCUUGUAUCCAUAAUUAAUUAAUUAAUUGAUGUCAAACAAAGGAAGAACUCAAUGCAUAAAUCUCGAUGAAAAACUGAGAACAACUUUUUUGACGAAAAAGAGAGAAAGUAGAAGACAAAACAUUAUCCUGAAAAAAACAUAAUGCACUGCAAAAGAGACUCCCAGUUUUACCAGGCAUGUAAAUCUUGAAAUGAAGAGUAAUCCAAUAUGCCUAAUGUGAUGUUACCUUCAAAGCUGAUCCAGCCAAAAUGAUGUAUCCCGUGUUAAUCAUAAAAAGAUUAACAUAUUGCAAUCCCCAGGUUAAAGAAUAAGCUUUCCUACCUGCAGCAAAAGGGCCCUUCAUCAAAUAUAAGAAAUGUCGAUAAAUUAAUGUGCAUGUCUAAUUUAAAGAGUACGUAUAAUAAAUCAUCAUUCAUUUUCCGUUUUUCACAUACCAUAGAUAAAUCCUGCAAGAUCUCUGUAUCUGAUAUGUCUCCUCCCUCCAAAUUCAUGCAGCUCGGCUAUAAGAGAAUUUGCAUACAGUGAUAUUGCAGUGGCUAUGAUCAAACCUACUACUCCAGGUAUCCAGCCCAAGGGAACCAUAAUGGUCCCAGAAUAUCCCAAUACAUAGGCACUAUUGAUACCGGUGGUGAGGACAAAACCAACUUGAAACCAUGAAUCUGUGAAUUCCAGUACAGAAAGUCAAACGACCUCAAAGUAACAAUAACUCAAAAAUACAAUUGAGUGCCCAGAAAUGAAACACCCUUUAUCAAAAAUCCAUUUUCUUCCCUAAAAAAAUUGUAAACCAGACGUUAAAACAACCAAUCAGAUAAAAAAGGGUGUAAAAAACCCAUUAUACAUCAAUCAGAAAACAUUAAAAACACGGAACUCUAGAGUUUCAUCUAGCCCACGUUUUCUUUUUGAAAGAGGAACAGCUUCAUUAACAUAAUAACAUCCCAAGGAAUUGAAACCGAACAGGCGAGUUAAGUUUUUACGCGGACAACCGCUCCACGCUACAGGUGGAAGAAACCAGAAAAGGACAAAACCAGACACAAAAUCCCAAAAAAUGGAAAGAAAGAUUCACCGUGUCAAAAGAAAGGGAAACAAACCACUGCUAAUCUGAUGGGCAGUCUCGGGAAUCUCAACUGCUGAGUUAUCCUCGUCAAAAACUUUUCGAGGCCUGGUAGAGUUCCCUGCUCCAUCUCCAUUGACUUCCAUUAUAGAGCUUGACUCUUGGUGAGGAUCCUCUCUUGUUUCUUGUCCUCCGGCCAAGAGCGGCUGGCCCUCUGCCUCUUGAAUUGAUAUGUGUAUGACAGCCAGAUUGUAUGAUGAGUAUCUGCCUUCUAUUUAUAUAUUUAGUAAUUAAUAUUAUGUAUCUGGAGGCAGAGAGUUAACAGUAAUCGCAGCCAGCAAAGUAGGACACUUUGUUUUGAGUCCUAAAUGAUUUGGUCUCUCAGAGAGAAUCAAUAUUGCUGAUCUUUCUCUUCUUUCUGUACUUUCCCUUCUGGGGCAGUGGCAUCGGUCAGAUUUUUUCCUUCAAAAUGCGUGUCACCAUAAAACUUUGAGAAUUAUUAUCCCGUGAGAAACCUGGCCCAUUGCUCCCUCCCUCUCGAAAAACACCAUCAGCAUGGUGCUAAUUGAUAAUUAAUUUUCGAAAAAACACCAUCACCAUGGUACUAAUUGAUACUACUUAACCAUUUUAGAUUUAUUAAUUAUUAGUAGAUGCGUAUAGAGCAACGCAAAAAAGUUCCUUUGCAGUAAACGAAUAUGGGUAAAUCACAAUAAUCCGAAGAUAAAGUUAAGCAAAAGAAAUGGGUUGGUGGAUAGCAUCAGUAGACUUUUGGAACAGCUUGAUUGAAAGAAGCCUAAACGUAAGGGAUACACUCAACUUCUAAAGAGAUUUGGAUGAUCCAUACCACCGAGCUAGUUUCUUCAAAUCACCCAAAAAUUUUAAAACUUGAUCCUCUUCACGUUCAAGAAAACAUUACUAAAUCCCUUUUUAUAUCUACAUGUAUUGGCUAUUUAAAAAAAAAAAUCACCCUCUUCGCAGUAAAAGAAUUUAGAAACAAAGAAUUUCAUGCGAACAAAUCAUGGAUGGUCUUUAAUUAUGUAAAAUAAAAAUCACAAAACUGGUACGCGCAUUGGAUGGAUUUUUUCCAUGUAAACGUGUGUAUCCAUGAUUCUAUAAUGAAAGAUUGUAAUGACAGGUGGUGUUCAAUUAUGCAUCUCGUCGGCUUCAAUUUGAAAAUCAAUGAUAUGACAAUUAAAUUAGUGAAUUGACUGCAAAUUUAGUAUUUGUAAUAACUGAUUCUUUUAUGUUUCUUUUUUAACUAAAAGUUUAAACUUGAUUCUUUGAAAUUCUACUAAUUUAUUUUUUUUUAGAUAUGUUUCAACCUUUGACUUAAGAAAAAAUUAAACUGUUAAUUUUUUAAUUUAUUUUUAUAAUUUUAAUAUAUUUUCAAGUAUUAAAACAUAAUUUAAAUGGUGUGGGGGAAUUACUGUUCUCCCACGCACAUUUCACUGUGGAUUACAACAGUAAUCCACAGUGAUUCUUUUCUAUUUUUCCUUUUUUUUUGUUUUGUUUUUUUUUCUAACUUUUCCCAUUUUUUUUUCGUUUUUUUUCAAUUUUUUUUUAAAUUACUUUUUUUUUUCAACUUUCCUAAUUUUUUUUUUGUUUUUUUCAAAAUUAUUUUUGUUGAUUUUACUUUUUAAAUAUUGACCUAGUUAAAAUUUUUACUUUAUAAUUUUUUCUUAAAAAUAUUGUGGAUUGCUUUGAUGUUUUCCACAUAGUUUUUCUAUUUUAUUUUUUUAUUUUUCAAAAUUAUAUUUUUUAUUUUUCAAAAUUAUAUUUUUUAAUUUUUUUUAAUAUGGAGCUGAUUGAAAAUUUAGUUUUAUAAUUUUUUUUCUUUAAAACAUUGUUUAUUGCUACAAUGUUUCUCCGCAUGGUUUUUCUUAAUGAUUUUCUCUAAAAUUAUCUUUUUUUAUUUUAUUUUUUAAUAUUGAGCUGGUUAAAAAUUACAGUUACAAUAUGUGAGGAAAACACUUUAACUUUCCUCGAAAAUUACUGCUGGUUGCUACAGUGUUUUUUCCCACAUGGUUUUUUUUUCUGUUUUCGUUAUGUUUUUCCCUAAAAUUAUCUUUGUCAAUUUUAUUUUUUAAAUAUGAAGCUGGUUAAGAAUUGUAAUUACAAGUAAAUACAAGUUUUUCCUCAAAAAACACCAUUGAUUGAUAUAGUUUUUCCUCACAUUGUUUUUUUCCAGUUUCUUUUGUGUUUUUUUUUAUAAUAUUUUUUUCCAAAAUCAUUUUCAUCGAUUUUAUUUUUUUAAAUAUUGAGUUGGUUAAAAUUUAACUUUGUAAUAAAGCUUAAUCAUGUGGGGAAAGUAUUGUAGUUUUGCUCAUAAAACAUUGUGGAUUGCUACAGUGUCUCUUCGUAUAGUUUUUUGCUGUUAUAAUUUUUUUCAAAUUAUUUUUUUCAAUUUUAUUUUUUUAAUAUUGAGUUGUUUGUGAAUUAUAAUUACAAGUCAUUACAAAUAAGGCUAAAUCAUGUGGGGAAGCACUGUAACUUUCAUCACAAAACACUGUGAAUUGCUAUAGUGUUUCCAACAUGAUUUUUUUCGUCUUUUUAGUGUUGGUUUUGUUAUUUUUUUUGUUAAAUUAUCUAUGUUGAUUUUUUUUUAAUAUUGAGUCGAUUAAGAAUUUAGCUUUAUUAUUAUUUUUUAAGACACUGUAAAUUGUUGCAAUGUUUUCUCAUGUGAUUUUUUUAUAAUUUUUUCCAAAAUUAUAUUUGUCAAUUUUUUUUUAAUAUUGAGUUGGUUAAGAAUUAUAAUUACAAUAAAGCUAAAUCAUAUGAGGAAAGCGUUGUAGUUUUUCUCACAAAACACUGUGGAUUGCUAUAAUAUUUCUCUAAAUAGUUUUUUAGUUUAUUUUAUUGGGAAAAACGCUAUAGUUUUCCUCACAAAACAUUGUCAAUUACUGCAACAUUUUUUUUCAUGGGUUUUUUUCCUUCCAAAAUUAUCUUUAUUGAUUUUUUUAAUAUUAAGUUGGUAGAGAUUUAGCUUUGUUUUUUUUUUUUUGCUUUUUAUUAACUGAAAAGCUAAAUCAUGUGGCGAAAGCACUGUAUCUUUCCUCACAAAACACUGUAGAUUGCUACAAAUUAUUUUGUUCAGUCUCUAAGUUUUUAAUCACCAACACAACUUUUUUUUCCUUCAUGAAAUAUUUGCUCCAUCAUACCUUUAAUUUUUAUUACUUAUCUAGUGUUGGUCCACAAUUAUAACACUAUCAAGUGCAUUUGUUUUAUAAACUCGCGGUAACGCGCGCUCAAGUCAUCUUGUAAAUACUCUAAAAAAUAUCCUAUAUUACAGUACCAUACACAUAAAAUAUCGAGCGGUGAAAAUUAAAUUGAAGAGACGUGAGAGUGCUCUAGUCCCUGAAGUGACGUUGGUAAACUCGAGAGUGCUGUAGUCACUGAUGUGAUGUUGGCAAACAUGAAAUGACUGCCUACUUUUUUUUCUUUUCUUUUUCAAGUCUCUCCUCAAAUUUGUGAUUUUGGGUUUAUUAUUGUGGAUUUGGUGGAAUGGAAGGUGGGAAUUUAUCAUUCUCUUUCCAGGUAGUAGCAAUUCUUAACGAAGGAGGGAGAAACUUAAAUGUAUUAUGAGCAAUAAAUGUAUUUUAUUUAUUAUUUAUUAAAUAGAAAUUUAAAUAUUUUUAUUUUAUUCAUCAAAUUUCAAGUAUUUGUUCGAGUAUCGAUUUUUCAAGUAUUAUUCAAUAUCCAACCUAAAAUUUAAAAUCUAAAUAGAUAUGAUACGAAUAUCUGUAUCUCAAACCAAGUUUAAAAUAUCCAAGCCAGUUAUUUAAAAAAAAAUCACUCAUAAAUCCACUAGAGCGAUAUUAAUGGAGUUUUUAACAGACCCAUGAUGUCCAGCAUCGGUAGGUAAAAAAACACGUGGAGAAAAUGGGGAUGCCAGGGUGCAAGGGACAACCAGAAAAAAUAACCUCAACUUGUGCUGUUGACUUUGAGAAUGCUAGUGGCAUACUGGUCUGGUCUACUAUUAGAUUUUUCAACAUACUUUACACGCGCACGGGUCAAGCUUUUUUUUCCUGGUAAAAAAAUUAUAGCCACGGUUUUUUUUACAUGUUAUUGUAAUUAAAAAAAUUCUAAGUAAAAAUUAAAAAAUUUAUACAUGCAUCUAUUUUUUUAAAAGUAUGACAAUGUAAAUUUUACACACGACUUGCAAGUAUUAAUAUGUUUAUAUAUAUAUAUAUAUAUAUAUAUAUAUGAUUAUUUGUUUUUAGCCCUUUAAAAAGAUCCAAUGACGCUUGAGAAUAUCUAAUCAUGGCCCAUGAGCGGAUCAUACAGACAUCAGGUCAGGUGAUCACUAGAGCUCAAAAGGUCACGACAGAAUAUUGGUGCGUUUGGAUUCUUUUUCUUUUCAAAAUGCGUUUUUUUUUAAUUAGCGUGGGGUGUUCGGGCCAGCUUGCGCGUAUCACGACUAUUCCCCACAGGCCACUGAACACUCUGCAAGUCCAGUGAGCAGGUAAGACACCGCGGGGGUGACAGGCGUACGCAGAGAAAGUCGAACUUGGGACGGCAGAAGGAGACAAGCCCCCACACACCGCUGAAGCACGACCCUCAAGCGUUUUCAAAAUGCGCUUUGAUUAGAUGCAUUGCUCUUGCCAAUCGGCUCUCCCAUCCUCUUCUCAUUCUCUGGAUAGAUUAAAAUAGAACACCCUUUUACUUGAGUUCGUGGUCUGGUGGGGAAAGAUACUUUUUUUUUCCUGUACUUGAAUUCGAUUUUUUUUGUGCAUGUCUAUCACUCUCGUGGUGUCUUACAUACCCACUGGGCUUGCAGGAUGUUCAGUGAACCUGAAGAUUAGUUGUGGUGCACGAAAGCUGUCCCGGACAUCACGGUUUUAAAAAAAAACACCCUUUUUAUACGUUGUUGUGCAGAUCAUUCCCCCUAACUCCAUCGCACAAGAAAAGUUUUUCUUUUUGCUUUUUUCCAUUUCGAUUUGAGAGCUAUGCAUAGAAAAUCUAUUAUUUAGCUCUCUUUUUAAAUUAUUUUUAGAGCAUUAGCUGAAUUUAUUUUUAUAUUUUGAGUCCUCUCUUUAAUAUAUUCUUACAAAUAUAAUAACUCUGAAUGUAUCCUUACAUGUUAAAUUACUUUUUAAUAUAAGAUUGUAAAAUUUUAUUUUUUAAUAUCUUAUAUUAAAAUAUUUUUUUUAAUAUAAGAUAUUUUCGUUUGCAUUGAUAAAAUUACUCUCAUAUGAAAAACUUAAACUCGACUUGAUUGGUUAUAAAUAAUAUCUUAUAAGAAGUAAUCAUGUCAUGUCAUAUAAAAAUUUCAUUUGCGUCAAAUGAAAUUCGUACCUAAACCUUAUAUUGAAGUAUUUAAAUCUUAAAAUGAACUUUCAAGAACGGUCGUUUCUUCUUGGAAAGAAGGGUUGUAAGGAUGUGAAACAAUGAUAUGAUAAGAUAUUGAAAUUCAUAAUUAAUUAAUUGCUGAGGAAUUAUUAGAUAUUGCUGGAAUAAUAUUGUUUUACUUGUAUAAAAGGGAGUUUCAUGAUCGAUCAUUGGUAGAUCCCACUGCUAUACGAUAGAGAAAACACUAUCCAACAAUGGCCUUCAAUUACUUUUCUUUAGCCCUAUUUGAUCUAGCAAUUCGAUUUAGUGACUCCUCUACAUUGGGAUUUAGUCCAAGCUAAACUAGUAAAAAAAAUUAUUUUUUUAUUAAAAUAAUAUCACUUUAAUUUUUUUUAAAAAAAUAAUUAAAAGUUAAGUUAAAUUUAACCCUCAAAUUAAAUUUGAAUUGAUGAAUUAGUUCAUUAAUCAAGCCUCAUAACUAAACACUCUGUUGUAAGAUUACUAGGGAGUGCUUCGCAAGUAACUAGGUGAUUUUAUUUUCUUUCCUUUCCUUUUUUUAUUUUAAUUCCCAUCAAUUAGAGUACGUUUAUUUUUUAGAUAGCUUUUGUGAUUAUAAUUUUUAAAAAAAAUUAAAAAAUAUAGUUAGGCGUGGUUAGUUGGAUUUAGAUACGUGUUUGAUAAAAAUUAUGGUUGAGGUUUAUAUGCAGUAAAAAAACAUGUAUAAAAUGUUUGGUAAUUUGUGGCUGUGGUUGUUUUUCAAAGUGUUUUUUACUUGGAAAUGCAUCAAAAUAAUUUCUUUUAUUUUUAAAAAAUUAUUUUUAAUAUCAGUACAUCAAAAUGAUCUGAAAACACAAGAAAAAUAUUAAUUUGAAUUUUUUUAAAUUACUUCAUUUUAAACUUAAUUUUCUAGUAGAUUCCACAAUUAAAAAAAUAUAAUUUUAACUUGUUUUUUGCACCGUAAAUACAAAAACUACAAACAAACGCAGCCUAAGUAUAGAAGGAGUUUAGCGCCUUGUUACUUUCAAAAAGAGGAUCUGUCUUGACCAUCUCUUUUCCGGAAGCAAGUUUCCCGGGUCGUUGAACAAAUUUUUCUCAUACAACAACACAAUACGAUUAAAGCAUGGCAAAAAAGUCUGAAUUACAAAUACCCCGCAAUUUCUCAUGCCACAGUGCGAUCGUUGCUAGUGAUCGGAAAUGGGCGUAAGAGCAAUUUUGUUCAAUGGGAAAAGAAAAUGAUUAAUCACCGAAACAUCGAAAGAAUAACCAACUCACAAUAUAUUUAUGCUCUCGCAUCUAUUUCAUUACUUUUUUUUAAUAUAUAUAUAUAUAUAUAUAUAUAUAUAUAUAUAUAUAUUCUAAUUCAUCACCAGUAUAAUACAGUAUAAUACAAUUUUGGCAUAAAAUAGGCUUUAUAACAUCUGUGAAAAUGACAUAAACCAUUAACCAAGAUCGAUCUACCUUGUAAAGUUGCAAACGGCAUGGAAUCCAUCUUUAAAAUAAUACAAAAGUAAGUUUUUGAUUAUUUUAAAGGGAUUCCUGGGUCCAUGGGAAUUGAGAACCAUGGGCACGAAGCCAAUAACGCCAUGAAAAUCCGAAAAAAUAAAAGAUUGGUGAGAAGUCCACGUCAGUGAGGUGGCUGUCUACAUUUGAAGUUCAAGAUUUCCAGGGUAACAAUUAUGAAGGCUUGUUGGUUUACGUAACAACAGCUGGGUAGUUCGGGGCACAUUGCCUUUUGCCAACCACCAAGAGACUGAAACGUGGAGAUGCCACGUUCCCAUGGAGACCUACGAGAUGAUAAUCUCGAUUAGCGAUGUUGAUAUCCUCCGCUCCAAAGCCCAUUGGGCCGACGCAGCUCCAAGCUUCCUUGGUGCUAAGUAAUAAUCUGGUCCAGCAAAUCAUUGCAUGAUAGGCUUUUAGUAAUCUUGCACAUUAAUUAACGGCCUGGAAUCAAGUGUAGAAUGUGUUGGAACUAACUGGAAAUUGGAAUACCGUCAGCAUCAGCCCAAGCGAAGGUGGGCAAGCCCGAACAUCACCACAAUACACCACGCUGACUCAUCAGCCCCCAUCUAUUAAUAUCUAUUUAGGAGAGAAGUACAGAUUUAUAUUAUUAAAGUUUUUUUUUAAAAUAAAAAAUAUUAAAAUAAUAUAUAUAUUUUUUAUUUUAUAAAAUCUAUUUUUAAAAUCAAUACAUCAAAACCCAACAAAUUAAACACAAACCAAGGCUGAUGGGCCAUCCAAGAUUGCUAUGAUAUUAUUAAAGUAGUGUUAAGAAUAUGGUUAAAACUUACUUAGAAAUUUAAUAUUUUUUACUUUAAAUUAAUAUUUUUAUAUUUUUAAAUUGUUUUGAUAUAUUGAUAUUAAACAUAAUUUUUAAAAAAUUUUAAAAAAAUUAUUUUAAUAUAUUUAUAAAAACCCUUUAAAUUACAACCAUUACCAUUCUUAAAGAGAUGCUGAACCUCUAGAAGCCACAGGUCGACAAUGCACUUGUACCUAAAAUUUCAAAACUUGCGGGUUUCGAAAUGUCUUGUUUAGAUUACAAAAAAGGCGAUGUCAAUUCACCACCCUUGAGCAUUGCAUAAGAUUGCUGAGUAUUGGGUUAUGGUUGAUAUUAUUUUUCAAAUCAACUUAAGAAGUUUUUAAUUUUUUUAAAAAAAUUAUAAAUAUAAUUAUCUAUAAAUAACGUUCAAUUUAAAUAAAAAAAACUUGUAUCAAAAUUGAGUUAAAGUCUUGAUUUAAUCAAAAGUUAAAAUUUAACUUCUAACUUGUACUAUAUUCAUUCUUUAAAAAAUUUGUUUUCAAUCAUUUUUUUUAUAUAUUAAAUGCACCUUUCAUUUAAAUUUAUUUUUUAUUCAUGUUAUUUAUGAAAACAACUCUUGGAUUAUCACUAAAAGUCAAAAGUUAUUAUUCGGAAAUUAUGUCAAACGAACUCACAAGUCAAAAGUUAUAAAAAAUGCCUUGAAUCAUUUUUACUAUAUAUAUAUAUUUUAUUUAAAAUUAUUUUUACAAAUGUUGAAUAUGUACUUUGCAGGCAUUCUUCGUGUUUAGACACGUGAACAACCGUGUUUUUAAAAAAUUCAAUUUGUUUUUCUUAUUAAAAAUUAAUUUUUUAUGUUUUGAAUUGUUUUGAUGCGCUGAUCUCAAAAAUAAUUUUUUAAAAAUAAAAAAUACCUUCUUGAUGCAAUUUAAAAUAAAAAAAUAAUUUAAAAAGUAAUCACAACUAAAACAUACUUGAAAAGCAUGAUCAAAUAGCGAGUCAAAGGAAUAGCAAAUGGUUACUGCGAUCCCACAAUUUUUGGAGAGACAGCCUUUUACCUUCCUUUCCGAGUCAUGACAGGAAAUCUUCUAUGAUUGACUAAUUCUAGGCUUUCACCAAAUGACUAGUAUAACUUGUGUAAGAGACUUUUGUAUGAACAAUUUGUUGCUAUAGCGUAGUCUUUACCUUCCUCUGGAGUCAUGACAGGAAAUCUUCAAUGAUUGACUUGUUUCAAGGCCUUCAACAGACGAUUAAUACUCUGUGAACUAUUUGCUUGUAUAGCAUUAAAUCUUUGCUAUUCCACCAGUAACUAACAGUGGAUACUCCAUAGAUGAAAAAUAAAUACAAAGAGUAGAGAAAAUUAAAGAAAAUAUUUAUGUAUUUACCUGGAAAAUUCAAAUCAUCUUCUAUGGGAUCCAUCCUACUUUCUUUUUCAUCUUUGCAUAUGCUUCACUCUUCAAAGAAGACCAUAGAUUGUCUAUAAUUAAGUACUCCCGGAAUUAUUAUACAUGCAUAUGCUCUAGCUAUAAAAAAAAGAGGAUAGAGCGAACCUGAGAUAUCUUGUUAACGAUAAAAUUCCUUUUGAGCCAUUUCUUGCUUAGUUCUUGUGAACAAAACUGGUACAGAGUCUACAGACAAGUUUAGUGACAGGUGAGAACCAAAGGAGAAAAGCACCACACUCUGGUAACUCUUGAGGAAUCGACAUACCCAAGUGAUAAUGGAAGCCACUAUAAAUUCCUGGCUUGAUAAUAUUUCCCCUUGCUUUUUUAAUGACCGCGCAUAGACCCUUGAUUGUGAUUUGAUUUAAAUUUGUGCAAAUCGCUUGUGUUCUUCUCUCAGUCCACACAUCAAACAAAUUACGUGCAUGACUUUCUUGGGACAACAGGGACCUCCAGAAGUUCUUAACCAUUUGCAUGCUUCAUGUUUUGUUGAUGCAAGGUAAAGCACUAAAGCUCCUCCAUAGCAUUGGUGGUGCACGGAAAUUAGAUUAGUCUAUCCAUAGACCUGGCAACCAUAAGACCGGCUUUACUUUCUUUUCAACAAACAAAAAGGAACCUAAAAUUUCUAAAGACUGAUUUUCUGUUGUUAAAAAGAAUAAUGAAAUCGGUUGCGCCAUCACCAGCAGCGUGACUAACAACUUUCUGACUCGUCUCAUUAUCGUCUAGCAGACACAGGGUCUCACAAAUCUGCAGAGCAAGCCUGCAUGCCACUUCCUUACAUAUAUGCUUUUCUUAAAACAAUCAAACAUAACAUUUAAAACAACAAGAAUUGGCGAUGAACAUACAACAUACAUUUAAAACUGGUAACAUAAUUAGACAAGGCAUGUACAAAUGUCAAAUACUUAAAUUGAUCACGUUGCAACAUAAAUAACAGUAACAUAAUCCAUUUGCAUCCAGCUAGACAUCUAGACAGAAAAGAAGUAAUCACAAUCUUCAACCGCAUAGGUUAGUAACAACAAGCACAGAAAAAACUUAAACUCACAGCAGAAGUUUAAAUACUACAUGCUCUAAUUCUCAACUCUUAACAACUUCCCCAUCUUUCUCCACAACUACACUGAUUUUCUCAUACUUGAAAUCAACUGGCUUCACAUUACCCUUUGUUGGAAAAACUGUGUGCCUGUUCACAAAAACUGCCCAAACAAACAGAACCGCAAAUGCCAACAUCGCUCCGCACCCAGUCACAAAAAUUAUCCCAGCAAGAACUGAUAAGGGACAAAACCUCCUCUUAUGCACUCUUAAUUCCUCAUUAGGCUCAUCCACAUAACCAUGUGGAUCGGCUGGCAAUGAAUGCAUCCGAUUAGGCACCUUUCUUAAUCUAAACCUCCAUGAGUACACAAUACAAGUCUCUAAAGAUUUCCCAUUAAAUGACUGUAAGGCCACAUAAACCUCAUUAUCUCCCCACGUUUUUGAUAAAUCAAUUGAAUAUGCAAUAGUUGGAUUGUGUGGCCUUUCAUCACCCACUUUACUUAACCUAACUUCUAAUCUUUUCAAAGACACCUUAUAAUCGACCCAAGAUUUCAACUUCUCCCCAGUAUUUGUCUCUAAAUGCACAGAUGAUGAUGCAUUGCUAACACCUACAGCUACAAGACUUGCGUUGAAAUCACCCACAUUACUAUCACUUAAAGAGCCAAUUUCAACACCCAGAUAACUUUUCUCACUCAAGAACCCAGAUUUACCCUGACCCAGAACUCUUAAUGCAAAAUUACGAGACCCCAUUAAAAGAGAAAGACCAUUGCCUUUACCGGAAAUGGAGAACGAGAACUCAGUGGAAAACGAUGUCGCUUUGGCAGGACUGAAGCUCGGAAAUUUGAAAGGGUGUUUGUACAUGAGAAGACCAGAACUUGACGGAAAUGGGCUGGUGAGUAGCACGUGAGAGCCAUCGUUGGAGACUUUGGCGUCCCCGAGAAGGGUAAUUUGGGGAUCGAAGUUGGGGUUUUUGCUGGUCAGGGUUACAAGCGAGAAAGUGGAAAUGGGACAGAGUAGAUGGAGUACAAGAACUAAGAGGUUAAAGGGUAAUGUGGAUCUGGAAAUGGGGAAUGUAGCCAUGGAAUUGGAAUUGGAGGGAUUUGGAUCAAUGUGAUGUAAAUGUUAUGGUUUAAUUAACAGAUUUCCAUUUCCAGGGUCUCUUGUGAUUUUGUAGAGAUGGAAUUUCGAUCACUUUGUGUGUUUUGGACAUAUACUUGCUGUUUUUUACUAUAUCAGCGCUUGCUUUCACGAGGAGGAAGGAUUUUUUUUUUUUUUUUUUCUGGUCGAGUGUCUUCUCAAAUAAUUUAAAUAUUUAUUUUUUUAAAUUGAUAUGAUAUAUUUAAAGUAAUUUAAUAUUAAAAAAAAAAUAUUAGAAAUUAUUUUGUAUUGUGUUAGAUUUCCAAAAAAAUAAUUAAGUUAGCUAAAUAAUUUAUGUUUGUUUUUACUAAGCUUUACAUGUAAUUGCGUUUUAAAUUUUUAGAAGUUAAAAAUAUUAUUUAACAUUACGAUGCAACUGCACUUUUCAAAUAAUUUAAGUUUUUUUUAAAGCUUUAAAUUAAUGUUUUUAUUUUUUAUUUUUUAUCAUUUUGAUAUGUUAACAUAAAAAAUAAAAAAUAUAUUUUAAAAUAUUUCAAAUAAAAAAUACUUUAAAAAAUAAUCUCUACUACACUCCUAAACAAACUGAAAAAACUCAUCUCAUAAUAAUUUUAACAAAAAAUAUAUUUUUUACAACUUUAAUUAAAUAUAUUUUUCUCAAAUUUAUUUUUAAAAAAACUCAAACUAAAAAAACUAUCAUAAUAUUAAAAAAAUAAAAGGGAUUCUCUAAUCUAUAUAACACAUCGUUUUUAAUGUUGCUUUCAUUACUGCAGUUUCAAAAGGAUACAGUGGGGAUGUUUUUUUGUGGUGUUUGAUAUUGUAGUUUAACUGUAUUUAAAAAAAGUUAUUUUUUAAAAUUUAAAUUGUAUAUAUAUAUAUAUAUAUAUAUAUAUAUAUAUAUAUAUAUAUCAUUUUAAUAUAGUGAUGUAAAAAAUAAAUUUUAAAAAAUAAAAAAUAUAUAUUUUUAAUAUAUUUUCAAGUAAAAAACAUUUUAAAAAAUAAUUUUUAUCACCCUUCAUCGUUAAUUAGUUCUCAUGGUUUUAUUCCAUCCCUGGUUGAUUUUAUGUUUCUUUUCAUCUAUUUUUUUAUAUAUAGAAAAGGGAAGAAAAGGUAAAAAAUAAAAGAAAUUGAUGAGAAAAGAAGACAUGUUGUUCGUGUACUAAAAAAAUCAUGUCAAGUUUCUUUAUAUUCCUUGUGAUCUAUUCUUUUAGUAUUCUUAAGUUAAGUAUCUUUCAAAUUUAUAUUCUUUAUCCAUUCCUUUUGAAUUCUUAAGUAAAGUAUCUUUCCAAUUGAACAGUAAUUAAGGACGUUUUGGAUAUAUUAAAGCUUGAAAGGGAGUUUUUGUAAUAUUUUCUUAACAUUAAGGGAAUUUUUGUCAAAUAUUCAAAAUUCUAAUUAGUUUAUGUAAUUUCAUAAUAUCUCAAAAUUUUUAUUAUAGUUUAUCCCUUUUUUUAUAGGCAAAAUAUCACCUCUUUAACUUAGGAAAAAGUAUCACCAAGCUAGAAAUGAUGGGUAAUCAUAAUAUUGGCAUGCACUCCAAGUUUUCUUGUUAUAAUAUAUAUAUAUAUAAAAGAUGUAUCUUAUCACAAGCUAAUCUCAUAUAAUAAAUUCUGCCUUGGUCCAAUACACUGAGAUCUAGAAAACAGAAGUGUCCAGAUUAUGCUCCCACACCCAAAUAACAACGAAAUAUAAUUACCACAAUCUUCUCCCAAAAUUAAAAAAUUGUAUGCAGGUCGAUCGGUGAUUACCCAUAGCCCAUAGGUGUCUGCUAUUAUGCUGUCACCUUUAAAUCUGUUGUUGGAAUUGUUUUUAAAAUGUUUUUUAAUAAAAAAAUUAAAUUAAUAUUUUUUUUUGUUUUGGUACGCUGUUAUAAAAAUUAAAAACAAAAUAUAAAAAAAAAAUAUUAUUUUAAUAUAUUUUUCACUAAAACACACUAACCGCACGAUAAGUAUCCUUGAAUCUCACCAUUUAAAGUACAAUAUUCAAGGAAACAAUUACUUGAAGCAUAAAAAAGGCUAUGCAAGUUACUGAUUACCCGUAGUUUUAGAUUGCAAAUUACUCCAGGUCCAAACUUUUAGAAAUUUAAAUUUGCUCCUAGCAAAACUUUCUAAAUUCUAAACCUAUCAAUUUCAAUCAUAGUUUUGAAAUCCGGACCGGCACGACGGGUCGACUCGGGACCCGGCCGAUCCGGGCAUGGAACCGGUCCGGGUCUAAGCAAAAACCCACCUGGGAGUUGGCCCGGCGAAACCCGGUCGACCCAGGACCCGGCCGACCUAGGUAAACCCCGCUGAGACCCGGCCUAUUUUUUUUAUUCAUAGAGGUUAAAAGACGAAGAUGAACGAUGCACUGAAGAUGCAAGCCUGCAAUUGCAAACAGAGAAAACCUAAUAAAGAAAAACAAUUUCAAUCCCGAAUUGUAGAGGAGCAGAAGACUCUUGAUCCCUUCAAUAAGGUUGAACUUUUGUUUCUGUUCAAGAAUCUCCUUCUUUUACUCUCUCUUUUCUUUGUUCUUUGCAUUUUUUUUGAACUCAUAGUUCUUGAUUGAGUAUUGAUUAGCAGUUCUUGAUUCAAUCAUCAAGAUUCAAAACUCCCAUCAUUUUCUCAACAACCCCAAAAUCAUUUAAAGAAGCAAGAGAACUGAUAUAUUACCCGAAGAAGAAGUGCAUUUGGUCUUGUUAUGAUCACCACUAUUUCUCUUUCUCUUCCCCGUAACAAAAGAAAAACUUUGAUUGUUUAGUCCCUUUGGUGGUGGCUGAUGGUAUUUAUUCUUAAAAGGGUUUGAAUUUGCAGUGAUAACUUUUGUGUUUUGAAGUAAACCUAUGGUCAUCAAAACACAUAGGAAGGGAAAGAGAAGUGCUUUUAAAAAGUUUCAAUAUAGUUUAUGUCCGAAAAAAAACAAAAAGAAAGGAAAAACAUGCGGAACGGUGGGUUAUGGAAUUUGGAGUGGUUGUUUUUCUUGUUAAAAAAAAUUAAUGUAUUGAUAAUAAGAAUGAAUUAAAAAAAUAUAGAAAAAAUAUUAUAAUUAUAUAAGAAUGAAUUAAAAAUAUUUUUUUGGGUUGACCCGGGUCAACCCAUCUGACCCGUGACCCGAUCACUGGACCGGGUCGAUGACCAGGUCGGGUUUCAAAACUUCAAAACUAUGAUUUCAAUGGUGUUAGUAUAUUAAUAUUUCCUUUGUUAUUAUUUAUUUUUAACUAACAUGUUUUUAUUUAUUUUUUCUUAUUGUAUUUAUAUUUUUGUUAUAAAAAAUCAUUUUCAUCUUUGUAUAAAUUAACUAAUUAUUUAGAUAAAUAAUCAAUACUUAAAAUACACGUGGACAACUUUUCAUUAACGUAUCUCAUACUCGAUACUAACUACUUGUUUAACCAAUUUAAUUAUGUAUUCUUAACAAAUUAAAUAACAAAUGUCAUGAAUAACAACAAUAUUUAAAAAGAAAGGAUUGCCUUGUUACCGUUGUAGAACCAGCCUUCCUCUUGUUCCCUCGUGAAAUGGAGUGCCGUGUAAUGUUUUGACACGCCUGGAAAAUAAGAUGCUCUCAUCCUCUAACAUCCUCAUGGCCUCACGGGUAAAUACGGCAGACAGAAAUGCCGCCGGUCGGUAAAUGCCAUUAACUGGUGACUCGUGCUAUGCCACAUGAUGGAUUAAAAAACUUUUCACGAAAAAAAUAAAUAUGUACUAUGCUUAAAAGGAAGCAAGAAAAAUAAAAGAGUCGGGUUAUUAAUUUUACUGAAUUUAAUAACUUAAUUUAAUAAUAAAUAAUAAAUAAAUAAAUAAAAUAAAAUAAAAUUAAUCUAAAUUAAUUUGGGUUAAUCCAUUAAACUCAUGACUUGACAUAUGAGAUUAAAAUAAUCUCACAUAUGAGAUUAAAAUAAUCUCAUGAUAGAAUAAAAAAAACCAACUGUAAAAAAGAUCUAAAAACAAUUUAAGUUAACCUAAACUAAUUUUUCAAAAUUAUAAUCCGGGUCCAAAUUUUUGACUAACAAAAUCUAAAUCAAUAAAAUACUAAGGGCAGCAAUUGAAAACAAUGUUUUAGUAAAAAAUAAUACAAAACAAAACAAACAAUAAUUAAAAAAAUAAGUAUUUAAUUUGAUAUAAAAAUAAAAUAUUAAGCGAUGUAAUUGAAAAACAAAUAUAAUUAAAAAAUAAAAAAUAAAAAAUAAAAAAAUAAUUAAAAACCAAAUUCGACAGGUAAGAAAAAUCAAAAGAUAAUGAAAUUAAAUUUUUUUUUAAUUCUAUGAAUUAUUUAAAAUAAAACAACUAGCAAUAAAACAAACAAAUACCAAAUUUGAAAGAAAAAUAAAUGAAGAGUUAUUUUGAAAAUAUGAAGGGACAGACAUGAAAAUCAAGAAGAAAAGAGAAAAAAGAAGAAGAAAGGUUGUUGGCACAAAGCUGGAGAUUCAUUAGUCACACGCAACAUGGAAGUUGGCAUUUGAUUGUCGGACAACGUUGUACAUGUUAUUUGAAGAGAGCGGACGUAUUCACGCACGCCUCUUUAUACUAUAUGCGCCAUCAAUUUUUUAAUAUUAAAUAAUAUUUUAUAUUUACUAAAAUAUCAAAUUACUCCUGAUCAAACUCGAUAAUAAAAAAAAUCAAAAUGAAAAGAUCAAAAAACUCCCAAACUCAAGUUAAAAAUAAUUUGAAUUCAAGAGUAAUAUAGAUUUUACUAUGAUUUUUUUAAAAAUAAAAUGUCAAAAAGCCCCUGUCCACUGGUGCAAUAUUUUGAGGCAUUUUAGUAAGUUUACUAUGCAAAAAACAAUAAAAUUACCUUUUUACCUGGGCCAAUUUUUUUUUAUAAGAAAUGCAAAAUAAUAAUUUUAAUGUUGCAAUGCCAAAGCUACAUUAAAAAUUACAGUAAAAGUCAUAUCCCUUUUAAUUUCUUUUAUUUAAUUAAUAAUAAUACUGCAUGCUUAACCAUUGAUGCAACCAACAUGCUGUAAACUUAAGUGGCAUUGGUGUUAUUAAAAAUCAGUCAGAAUUUCUUUCUUAUUAAAGAAAGAGAAAUAACAAAGAAAUUACAAUAGUAGGACUACUUCUUCAGUGUACUCUUCCAUCAAUAUCAUGUCUGAUUGCCACUGGAAAUAUCGAAUACGCUUAAUUAUCGAUCAUGUUGCAGUUUGUAACUAUGGAUAUCGCUAAAUUUCACAGUUUUUAUUAACCGUACAGAAAGGUCGAAGAACCCUUAAAUCCAGCCCACUGAAGCUUUGUUUUCUCUGUCCAGGAAUUGCCUGUUCUCAUCAGUGCCCUUUGCUUGUUCUCGGUCGGUACUGUUCUAUAAAUCUUGGUUUCUUUCGUAAGAAAAGCAUACCACUAAUAUUUACCAUGAUCUCAUAUUUUUCAUGUAGAGGAACACUUAUUGGGUUAGCACAAACUUAAUAAGAGAUCUUGAUUCUUGGAUUUUCAAUUUCUUAGAUUACAUUAGGAUUUUCCUUUGUAAUUUAAUGGAGAUUAACAUGGUGAACAUUUAACUUCAUAGACACAACAAACUUAUGAUGAAUAACUUUAAGAAAAAUGGAGAACUUCUGAGGCUAAUUGAUAUGUCCUUUUAAGAGAGAUCGAGGCUCUUAUAUUGAGCUUUGCCUUUCUGUCAUGCAAUUUCAAUGCUACAAGCCAAGCAGACUUGGCCAAUCCACAGACACUCGUUUCUUACACAGCCACAGUGAGAUAUGAGAUAUCCAUGCACUAACCCUCAUUGCCGGUGCUUGUUCUGAUUAUGUUCUAAUAAAAACCAAUUAUUAAAAUUGCGAUUUUGUUUCUAGUUAUGAAUGGGUGAUAGGUGUAUGCAUCCAUUAGAGUGCCUGAUGAUCUGCAUCCACUUGGAGCUCAACAGAAGGUACCAUCUAUAAAUAAGCACUAAAAUGCAAUAAAAAUCAGAAGCAGCGAAAAAUAGGAAUGAAAACAUCAUAUAUUAUCGCAACAAAAGGUUGGGGGAUUGUACAAGGAAAAUUCCUAGAAUUCUAGAGUUCAUAGAAUCUGAAUCUAUAUAAAUUUGGAGGCAAAAUGACGUCAAGUGAGGUGGGGCUCCUAUUUCCCUGACCUUGGACUUGCUCCCACAAAAUCAUCACUAGUGCUUAAUAGCGGUAGAUACAUAGUGUAGCAAUUUAGUCAAAUACAGCAUGAUGGUGUAGAGGAUUCUAUCAAGAUUGUGUUUCAGCUAGCCAGUUUACAGUUACAUCGUUGGAUUCUUAGCACCAAUUAACCAAGGUGCAACCCACCAAAACAUUGGGGUUACACAUGUUACACGCAGUCUCCAACAUCUUUGGCUGGCCCAGCCCUAUUUUCAAUACAGCAUCCAAUAUAGUAUAAUUAGCAACUCUGCUUGAGCAAAUUGUCAUGUUAUUUAAUAAUUCUUGCUCAUUGCUGCAUUGAUAUAUGGACACAAUGUAAUUAGCUAGAAACCUCCCAGGGUUAGGACCCAAAGGGAUGUGUGCUAUUUACUGGUGGAUCGAUUGAUAAUAUAUAGAAAGGCAUUUAUAUAAGUAUUAGAACGUGAUUUAAUGGAUUUUUUAAAGGUGUAAACAAAGUGUGGUUGAUCUACAAGGGAAUAUUAAUUAAUUGAUAAUUAGAGUGUUUUAAAUUGGGUUAAUCGUGUAUAUAUAUUUAACAAAGCUAGUGUCUUAUGAUUACCAGCGACAAUAUCCUUCCAUGAUCAAUCAAUCUCGACUAGAAAAAAGAAGAGCACAUAAAGAACGGGUAAUGGUUUGAGCUCACCGACUUUAUAUAUAACAUAUCUCAAUCAAAUCGAUAUUAUCCUGAUUCAUGGCUACAAAUUAAGUUAUACACAGUGCGAGUAAAGGAGAGGGUUAGGGAGCGCUAGUUUUGAAGGGAAGUCAAAAGGGUUUGGGUCCCCAGGCAAGGAGCAUCCAAUUCCUCGAGGGCUUAGAAAAAAAAUCACACCUAGGGUUUUUCUUUCGGAAGUUACACAUGUCCUUCAUAAAAUUUAUGUAGUCCAAGAGGGUGACAUUUGGGUUACAUAUUUCACGUUCGAAGACAUUUUGUACAUUCGUGUGUCCGAAAAAUUAUGACUUCCGAGCCCUAGGACCCCCUCUUCUUGUAUUGUUUCCACUUCAUAUUCAUUUGAUUGAAGAAUUUGACUCUUUCAUUGUUAAGUUGAAAAUCAUCAUUUCAAAAAUCACGACCCCACUGCCAAUCAAUUACACAACUCAAAGUGUUAAUUAGGCUAAACUUUCUCAUAGAUUCGGGAAACUUCUGAAAUCUUGUUUUUUUUUUUUCUUAUUCUAAUGAAUUAAAAAAUUAACAUAAAAAUAACUUGCUGCUAAUGCACCAUUUGAAUGAUUAUAACAUUAAUUGUAACUUAUUAUAUAAUUUUUAUUAAAAAAUAAAUAUCCUAUAUAUAUAUAGCCAGUUGGUCUUUAGUUCAUUAGUAAUAGGUCUAAUUCUUAACAAAUAUUAAAAAUUACAUUUGUUUGCAUCUUUUGUAAGAGGUGUACUCCAAAGCUAUCCCUCAUCUUUGUUGUGAUGGUAAGAUUAACCUUUUAUUAUGAUGUAUUUUAAAUCUAACUCUCCCUUUCUUCCAACACUGACAAUUAAUUUUUAAUGUAUACCCCCCCCAAAAAAAAAUUAAUCACUUGAAUUUAUGUAUAUGUUGAUUCAAUUGCUCUUCCACCAACUAUUUUUACUAAAUUUCUAAUUACUGGAAACCUCUUUUAUCACUAUAUAUAGGAGCAAUAAUCUAUAGUGAUGCUUUAGCCUGAUAUGCUUGUCUUUAUAUAACGAUAUAUUAUGAUGGAAAGUUGGAAACAUAUCUUAAUUACUAUAUAGUAAGAUUUCCUCAAUUAUGUUGCUGGCAGUCAAAAAUUAACUUUCUAUGUGAUUUUCUUUUCAGACAUCAGUUAUUAUCAAUAGAGUAAUCCAAAUAUUUAUUUUGUGCGGUGGAACAGAAGAUUUUGGAUCAUUUGUUAUUCUAUUGCUUUAACACUUAGCAAUUAUGAGCAAAAUUCUUAUAACGAUGGGGAGUAUUCUAGAUAGACUCUAGAUUUAUUGAUUUAUCAAUGAUCGAUUUUGAACUCGGAUUUGGAUUCUUUUUUUUUUGGACAUAGCAUUGAGUGUUUGACUCAUAAAAAAUAAUUUUAUUUUUAACACGAUUUUAUUUUUAACAAUGUAUAACUAGAUUAGAAUUUCAGUCUCUUUCUGAUUUUGUAUAAAUUAUCAGUUUGAAUAAAGUAUAAUAAAUCUAAUUUUAAUUGUACGUGUAACGAUUUUAUUGGUAGUGCAAAUGAUAUUCAGGUGUGGACAAAUACAUAUCAUUAAUUUAAUUAUUGUUUUCCUAUUAUGUUUCUUUCUAUUUCAUAAUUUGUAACAUAAACAUUUUAUUUUCUUGUAAACGGUUAUUUAACUUUUCAUAGGACAUCUUCUAAAUGACCAUCUUUUAAUUAAUAUACUUGAAUAUUAAAAAAAAAAAAAGCAGUUUCAAACCACUUCUACAGUUAUCAAGUGAUUGGCGUUUAGCAAAGCGGUUCAGGGUUUUAAAAAAAUUAUGUAGUCAUGAUAUAAUUUGCUCAGGCUCAGCCGAAGGAAAGAACAUUAAUAUUACAAGCGAUAACAAUCCCAAUCAUACCCUGAAACAACAGCUCAACAGUGCGGUUCCUAUUCAUAAAGGAGAAGAAUCAAAAUAAUUAACCUCAAUAAAAAAGGAUAAACCUUGAGCACUUAUUUACAAACAUCUAAUCAACAAAUAUUUGAUACCAGUAGGUAUCAGAAUAUGCAACACUAGCUAUACUAACGUGAACGUUUAUGGAAAAAGGAAAGGAUAACCAUAUCUAGAAAAGCUCAGUUACAUGUGUUAGUGGUGGCGGUUCUAUUUUAAAGUUAUCCUUGUAUUGAUGCUUGAAUGCGCGAGAGACGCAUAAAUGCUUGGUGUUAGAGAAAAAAUGGGAACCUAAUGCAGAAAGGUGUUGGGGCCAUGUGACAAAAGGGAUCAAAUGGUAAGACAUUACUAGAAUGUUGGUGUCAUGUGCUAAGAGGGAUCACAUAAAGACCCUUUAUUUCAAAAAUUAGGGCAAGUAUAAAGGACUUUUUUAAGGUCUCAUCACAUGUGUAUGAUUCCUUUGCCUUUGGGACACUCAAUUUGAGGCCCAAAGUGGUAAAAAGAAGUCCUUUAAUAUCAUCUUCCACUGCCUUGGAUUCUAAUUAAAGUCCUCAAACCAUGUGAUUUGGACCUUGAUCCAGGGCCACAUGGCAUACCACCAUACCAUAGAUCGAGUGGUUUAGGACCUUUAACCCAUGUUUCAUAGCUUUUUAGAGAUGGUUUAGGCAAGUAAUUAAUGUCAAUAGGAGUUAGGUUAAGCCAGAAACUAUUACAAACCUGCAGUUAAUUGUUAGCGUUAAUCGGAAGAAAAGGGUCAAACCUUUGAAAAGGUGAAAUCAAUUUGUUGGAAGCGUAAGGAAAUGGGAUAAAUUCUUGCCAAAGCAUUUAUAUGGGUAGAAAUUAAUUAUAUCAUCUUCAAUACAAGGGGCACUGUUUUAUUUGCAAUAGUUGCGAAUAGCUAGCUUCCACUUGGUUAUCACGUUGAUGACGAUGUAUAAUGAAAAGAAUCAAAGCUUGUAGUUUGUAAGAGACAGAAUGUACAUAUGCAUGUAAAUUAGCUGCAAGAGCAAUUUUCCCUUCACCAAGAAUUUCCGAAGUUGGUUUAAAUUCUUUCAGCGAAAAAUAAGGAGGAGUCAGCUCGUGAUUGUGCAGAAGCUCCGGCAAAAAACCUCAUCCCUUCGUUACAAAGGAGAGGUUAGAACCUCAUACUUUCUGAGAGGAGGGGAAUGUGAUUACUAAUCGAACUAUGAACUCAUUUGACACCUAAGACUUCACUUACAUUGCUUGAAAACAACAAAAGAUCUAUUAAAGAUCCGGUGCGGACAUCUUCCUCAACACCCAUAUAAAUUUAUUGUCUCACAUGUUUUUGAAAGAAGGAAUAAAUAUCCAAUAUCCUUGAUUUCAGGUUUGCCAUAUAUCUUAAAGGAGUAGAUGUGUAUUUAAUAAAAUUAGCAAAUCACAUUCAGGACAACUGUAAGCAACAAUAACAACAAGAUAUAUACGCACCUCUCUUGGAGAUUUUCUUGGAGCCAAUGUCCAUUUAUUUCUUAGGAGCAAGUUGUAUGUAGCCUUUUUAAGUUCAGAUCCAAUGACUUCAUGCCGAGUUUCGGUUUUGGAUUGCAAAGAUUCAUUUAGAAUCUUAAAUAAUGAGUUUGAUAUUGAAUUGGAUUAACCAAACGGGGCUUGAAAAUAAAAAUUAAAAGAAAGAAGAAGAUAUAAUUAAGAGAUCGAUCGGAUAGAGUAGAGAGUUAGUCACAAAAUACAAUUUUGAAAAAGUCUCUUCUACAAAUAAUAUGAGAGGAAAAUUGAUUUGUUAAUAGUAUAAACCAUAUAUUCAGAGUCAUGCAAACUUCCAAUAUCAAUGAAACAUGCAUGUUCCAGCCAAAGGAAGACUAAGGGAACAAGGAGAAGCUGCUACUCGGUUGUACUUGGUUUUAAAAGAGAAAUCAGACACAGACACGCACACAAGCAUAUAACUAUGACUUACUUGAUCUGUUGGUAUUAUAGAAUUCUCUUUCUCGAGCCAUGUUGAAGUUGCUGGUGUUGAUGAUGCACGAGAAGGGAGUGUGGAGCAUCGCCACUGAAACCCGUUAAUGCUAUAGAAGCCACCAAAGGAGGAAUCCAAAGGGAUAGCAUGAUCCAAAAUUAUGGCCAGGGACACUCGGGAUCAAUGCGAUCCCUUUGGAUGCCUCCUCUAGUUGCAGUAGAAACAUGGAAACUCCUCCGUAGAAGUCUCUCUCUCUCUCUCUCUCCUUCUAUACUUGUAUCAUGGAGGAAAGUGGUUUGAGGGAAGCCUUGAGCCUUCAAUAUAAAAGAGAGCAAGUGCUCUAACAAUGACUAAUUAUAUUUUAUUUUCUUUCCUUUUUUCUCCAGCUUCAAAUGCUAUUUUACUUUUGAUUUAUUUGUUUCUUUAGAUUUAGCAAAUCAUCAGGAGAUGUUUUAAAAAGAUAUUUAUUUACUUGUAGACCCCAUUUUCUUACAAAUUAAACCACACACAGAGGAAAGGUUUUACCAGUAGUGGGUCAUGAUCCACCUCUUCUGAGAAAUACCCCAACAAGUUGGGUGGCAAUAUUUAUUCAGCUGUUUGCUUAUUUUAUCAAGGUUUGUGGUCCAAUCCAUGUUCCCUUUCUUACACCAACCUUUUUUAUGCUUCUUUCACAAGGAAUACAUUCCCAAUUUCCCAUUACUUGUCCAAAUAUUUAUGUCGACCCUUUUUUUUUGCAAUAUAAAUAUAUUUAUUGUCUCCAUUAAGUGGUCCAAUUGUAUAGAUGCUUACAUAUAUAGGUCAAUGAUAUGACCAUAUGAUUGACUGAAAAUUAUUAUUAGUGGAUCCAAAGCAUAACAAGCUAGCUGUAGGAUUUAGUUUCAUAUCGGCGGGGUCAAAGAUAGAAGUAUAGAACACGUGACACGAUCAGUAAUUUGGUCUGACCAAUUCAAUAAUUUCUCGCUUCACUAAUAAAUUAAUAAGGUAUCACUCAGCUUCCCAGAUCGUAUAUAUCCGAUUAUCCAUAGAAAAAGAGUGUAUUUUGCUCAUUUCUCGGCAUCUACAUGUAGGUCUGUUCAUUCAAGGGUAAUCGUAAUUAACUGUAAACUCGGAACCAAACUGGUCAGUGAUCUUGAGUCUUAUGACACACACACACACAUCUAGGACACCAGCAUCGAUCAAAUGAAGAAUCAAACAAAAAUAGCGUAUGGGAGGUUGGUGUUGGUUAUUUUUGUGAUGAAAAUUACUUCCACGUAAAAGGUUGAGUGAGUUUUAAGUUGUUUUUUUUUAACUGAUAAUGUUAUACCUUUUUUUAAUAAUAAAAAAAACUUUUUCCGCUAAACAUUGAAUCAAGACUCAAUUAAAUCACACUAUUAACUUUAAAUAUGAUUAAUUAUACAGUUACCGUCUCCUUCACAAUUUCAAUAAUGAAAUUGCAUUGAUUAAUUACCUCUGGUUUUUCAGUAUACACACAAACACACGAGAUCGAAUAGACUCAGGGCUACGCAGAAUGAGCUAGAGUAACCAUCCUCCAUCCUUCUUAGAAUCUUAACCUGUAACCUUAGAGUGAAUUGUUGAAAAUCUCGAGUCUUUUAUAGUCAUUGGGUUGUUCAACUCCAUCCCUUUGAAAACAGCACUAUAUAUUUCUCAUUAAUUACAGUUUUUCUUCAAUAAAAAGAUUCUAAUAUUAGUUGAAUAUUCACACAAACAUUAUCUAUUGGCAUUUAGAGCAGUUGGAUGCAAAUAGUUCCGGAUGAAUGUAAGCCAAUACAUUUAAAUACUAAAGGUGAUUUCAAAAGGCAGACGCUAUAAUUUCAUGACUUGAUUGAGCUUGUUAAUCCCACAACACAUUACAUUUCACCAUAUAAUGGCCUUCUUAGGCACAAUUAAAUUUGUAAUAAAACGCUGGAACAAUGAUGACUUUCGGUGAGAAGUCAAGGGGUGGACAAUCACUGAAAAGAGGAGCUUCCAAUAUCAUGACUAUAAUGCACACCAAAAAAACCCAAUAAUUAAGUUGGUAAGUGAUAGAUCGACGGGGAGAGAAAUUUCAUGUUUCGAAAACGUGUAUGAUGAAUCACAAUUGUGGGGGUGCCAUAGGCCAUUGUCUAUCAUUAUUCACAUCUCUAUACUCCACGAUUUAUUUUGGUUUUCAUAUAGCAAAAAUCAUUGGCUUUCAACAUGUCAAGUUUCUCACGUCAUGUCUCUUUUUUUUUUCUUCUAGUGGGAACGAUAUGUUUAUCAGAGAACAUUUAAAAUAUUAGAACAGUUAUAAAAAAUUAUUACGGAUAUUAAAAGCAUCAUAUGCAAUGUUAGUAUGGCUAUAUAUGUACACAAAUCUUGAGACAUCCAUGGUUCGAUGGAAUUAUGUAACUUACAAGAUUUAAAUCCUAUUGAGAUGGGAUGGGAAGAUUUGUGGAAAUACAGGAAGGAACAAUAUUGUUUGAUUAAACUAUUUUCUAACCCUUGUAUGUCCCGCAACAUUUCAUUUUGGCCGCUAUAUUUUAAAAUUUUAAAAUUUUCCAAUAUUUCCAAGUAAAUUUCAGUUUUUUUGUUCACGAACAUACAAAAUCAAAUAAAUAUAAAGCAAUUAAUCAAGUAAUUGUCUUGCUUGGGACAGGAGUUGCAGAAAGAUGCUAUGCAAUUUUGAUUCUAUGAAAGCUAUCAGAUUAGUUUCGGAAGCCCAGGUCGAUUUUCAUAAAAAUUAAUUAGAAAUAGAAAAAAAUUAAAUUUUAAAAAACGCUUUUCAUCAACGGGCCUUGGUCUCUCUUCUUCCUUGUAAUAAUAAAAAAAUGUCUCCCUUCUUCCUUAAUUCCUACACGCCAUCUUUUUUCCAAGCUGAUCAUUUCUUGUUUGUUUGUAACUAGAAAGUGAGAGAAUAUAGUUCAAUGCCGAUGAUUUCUUCCAUCCAUUUGUGCAUGUAAAUGCAGAACUGAAAUUCCAAUAAUAUUCUCCUUUCCUGCCAUAUACCAACACUAGAAAUUAAAAUUUUGAAAUUAGGAAAAAGAUGGUAGCUAGCUAGCGUUCUGCUACAACAUCAUGGCAUCUCAACAAGCCAUAUUAGCCAUUGGAUACAAGGGCCACCGCAAAAUUCCUCAGUUGACCCCUUUAGAUUUUGAUGUAUGGUGCUAGAUAUUGUCCACACUCAUGAAGCAUAAAUGGGCCACAAGCACAGUGCAGGCUUUCUAUGGUGCUGUACAGACCCCACCCACCACAUAUUUUUACUCGCGCAUCCAUUAUAGUGGGGUAAAAGUGGUUUGCUGAUACUGUCUGAUAUGGUGAUUUGAGAGUAUAGGUUUUGGUUGCAUCUUGGUCUGUAUCCAUCACAAGGGGUUCACCUCUGAGAACAAAUGUCUCUUCUUUGCAGGACAUACAUUUUAUAUCCACCCAGUCCUUGCUACCCAUCUGGUAGAGCAUAAGGACCUUGGAAGAACCCUGCCAAAAUGCUGCCUAUAUAGGCACAUAUCAUAAUCUUCCUCACAUGGGUUUCACUUUGUGCCAACUUCCAUACGCCUGAUCAGUGUUACGAUGGACUUUUCAGGUCAGUGGGUACUCGUGCUAACACUAUUGUCCCCCAGUAUUUCAGCCAUUGACGUACGUCUGACUCCGAUUGUGAUAUGAUUUAGAAAAGGUAAGGGUGGUUUUGUUAUUCAAUAAUUUAGAGUAAUUACUUUUUUUAUUAAAAUCAAAUCAUCUUAUUAUUUUUUAAAAAAAAAAAUUGGUAUUGACUAUACAUGAUUAUAACCGGGUUAAUCGAAUUUCAAAUUAAUAUGUCAAAUUAACUAGAUUUAACCGAGUAAAUAUCUUGUUUUUUUGUUCAUCGGAAUAAGCUAGUUGGAAGAAGUCAAGUUUAUUAUCUAUAAUUUCACCAGGUUUUAUACUAUCCCUCUGGUGGAGUAGUCACAUGUAUACAGUUAUAAACUUUGUUGAUGCAUGGUGAAUUGUACUUUUUUAUCAUUAUCUUUCCCGUUUUCAGAAUUUUUGGUUUAUAGCUUUUGUAUCAUUUCGAAAUUAUCAUUUCGAAUUCGAGGUCCUACAUUGGUUAAACUCUAGUUACGACUACAAUAUUUCUUCAUCGGAUCGAUGCUUCAAGGCGCCGUUGGACCACAGCUGCUGGCAUCAUUCUUCUCUUUUCUUGAAUCAAUAUUUAGCUGUGGACAAAACUAAAUAAUCAUGGAGGUAGGUAACUAAAUAUCUGCGUAUAAAUGAUAUACUGUCAUAGCUAGCUUCUCCGUCGUGUUUCAUUUCCAUGCUAGUCUACGAGUACUCAAACUUUUUAACCUGCAAUGACCACACCCUUAUCUUCCUGGUGUUUUGAACCGAAAGCAAUGGUUUCAACUUUGAAGUGUAGAUGGGUGCGAUAACUUUAGGCUUUAGCAGUCUAGCGACUAGUUAGCUAAUUUUGGGGACCAGAUCUACAUUGGUAGAUUAAGCUAGCAUUAAUAUUGCAGUAAUUCAUAUUGUAGCUAAGCUAGGUAGGGAAAGAAAUUUCUAUGCGGCCUCUAAUUUUAAAAGGAUAAAUUCUGAAAAACUUCUGUGGUAAUAUAGACAUAGACAUGAUAUGUUGGGUUGAAGAAGCCUGUGCUGAAGAAGCAAGAGGAUAGUUGCCCCACAUGAAUGGCAAAGGGGGUGAUUGUUGGGUUGUUGCCAUUGCAUGUGCAGCAAAUGGACAGCACCAACCAUUGACUAUUGGCAGCCACCAUUGUUGAAGAAGAAGAGGAGUUGGCAGCCACCUUCGUUGAAGAAGAGCUGGAGUUGGCAGCCACCUUUGUUGACAAAAGAACAAGUGGAGCAGCACCAUUGUUGCCUAUAAAAGGGCACCGUGAGAGAGCAAAAUGCAAGAGAGAUGAGAGUGGUGAGAAUGUGAAGAGUAUAGAGAGAAAGUGGAGAGCUGCAAUGGCAGCAGCCUUGCUGCCAUUGCAGCAGCUGCAAGUGCAGCAAGAGAGCUGGGAGUUGAGUUUGAGUGAAGUGAUCCUCCUCCUCCAUGUAUUGUGUUGUAAUCCUUUCUCUAUCUCUAAAUAAUAUGGACUCUCUCCCGUGGAUGUAGGCGGUUUUGCCGAACCACGUAAAAUAUUGUGUCAGUGUGCUUUAUCCCUCCUAUGAGAAAAUAUCAGUACACCCCCGGUCCGCGCAUGGGGGAGCCGGAAUCCCCAACAUGAUAUACAUGUGACAUCAUAAAAGUUUAGAUAUAUGUGGCCUUAAAAUGUUCGAUCCAUGAUUUCUUCAUGAAAUUAACAUAAAAUUUGGUAGCCUUAUGAAAUUAGAUUUUCUUGGUGGUGAUGGUGGCAUUUCUACCGUAAAAUAGUUUUAACUCAAGCUCGUUUGUUUUAUUAAAAGUAAUUUGUAAAAUAUAAGUUUUUAAAUUUUUCUGUAUUUGUUUAACAUUAAAGAAUUAAUCAAUAAAAAACAUUUUCUAGUGAAAGAAAAAAUUGACUUGAUUUCUAGAAAAAAUUGACUUGAUUUCUAGAAAAAUAUUUUUAUUUUAUAUCGAGUGAAAAACACUUUCUAGAAGUUGAGAAAAAUUCAAAAAUAUCUUGUUAUUUGUUGAUUAUAUCAAAUUUAAUCCUUAAUUUUUUAUUACAAUAUUUGUUUUUUGAUUUUUUUUU